AUGUUGGCCUUCGCAGCCAGGACCGUGGUGAAGCCCCUGGGCUUCCUCAAGCCCUCCUCCUUGACGCGGGUUUCCGGCCGCUUCAAGGCGCACCAGGACUCCCUGCCCCGGCUGCCCGUGCCCCCGCUGCGGCAGUCCCUGGACCAUUACCUCAAGGCGCUGCAGCCCAUCGUGAGCGAGGAGGAGUGGGCCCAAACCAAGCAGCUGGUGGAAGAGUUUCAGACCUCAGGGGGCGUGGGGGAGCGCCUGCAGAAAGGGCUGGAGCGCAGGGCCAGGAAGACGGAGAACUGGCUGUCCGAGUGGUGGCUUAAGACAGCCUACCUCCAGUACCGCCAGCCCCUGGUCAUCUACUCCAGCCCUGGUGUAAUGCUGCCCAAGCAGGACUUUGUGGAUCUGCAGGGACAGCUCCGGUUUGCUGCCAAAUUGAUCGAGGGUGUGUUGGAUUUCAAGGCCAUGGUUGACAACGAGACCCUGCCCGUGGAGUACCUGGGGGGAAAGCCGCUGUGCAUGAACCAGUACUAUCAGAUCCUGUCCUCCUGCCGCGUGCCGGGCCCCAAGCAGGACUCGGUCAUCAACUUCAGCAAGACCAAGAAGCCGCCCAUGCACAUCACCGUGGUGCACAACUACCAAUUUUUUGAGCUGGAUGUGUACCACAGCGAUGGGACGCCCCUGACUUCCGAUCAGAUCUUCACGCAGCUGGAGAAGAUCUGGAACUCGUCACUGCAGACCAACAAAGAGCCCGUGGGCAUCCUCACCUCCAACCACCGCAACUCCUGGGCCAAGGCUUACAACACCCUCAUCAAAGACAAGGUGAACCGAGACUCGGUGCGCUCCAUCCAGAAAAGCAUCUUCACCGUGUGCCUGGACGCGCCCGUGCCUCGGGUCUCAGAGGACGUGUACCGCAGCCGCGUGGCCGGCCAGAUGCUCCACGGUGGGGGCAGCAAGAUCAACAGUGGCAACCGCUGGUUCGACAAGACGCUGCAGUUCAUCGUGGCCGAGGACGGCUCCUGUGGGCUCGUUUAUGAGCACGCAGCAGCAGAGGGGCCCCCCAUCAUUGCCCUUGUGGACCACGUCAUUGAAUUCACGAAGAAGCCUGAGCUCGUGCGGUCUCCCAUGGUGCCCCUGCCCAUGCCCAAAAAGCUGCGCUUCAACAUCACCCCUGAGAUCAAGAGCGACAUCGAGAAGGCCAAGCAGAACCUCAGCAUCAUGAUCCAGGACUUGGACCUCACUGUCAUGAUGUUCCAUCACUUUGGGAAGGACUUCCCCAAGUCGGAGAAGCUGAGCCCGGAUGCCUUCAUCCAGAUGGCACUGCAGCUGGCCUACUACAGGAUCUAUGGGCAGGCCUGUGCCACGUACGAAAGCGCCUCCCUGCGCAUGUUUCACCUGGGCCGUACCGACACCAUCCGCUCAGCCUCCACAGACUCGCUGACCUUCGUCAAAGCCAUGGAUGAUUCCAAUGUGGCGGGGCAGCAGAAGGUGGAGCUGCUACGGAAGGCAGUGCAGGCCCACCGAGCCUACACUGAUCGGGCCAUCCGCGGGGAGGCCUUUGACCGGCACCUGCUGGGCCUGAAGCUACAGGCCAUUGAGGACCUGGUGAGCAUGCCAGACAUCUUCAUGGACACCUCCUACGCCAUUGCCAUGCACUUCAACCUCUCCACCAGCCAGGUCCCUGCCAAGACAGACUGUGUCAUGUUCUUUGGGCCCGUGGUCCCAGACGGCUAUGGUGUCUGCUAUAACCCCAUGGAGGCCCACAUCAACUUCUCCGUGUCGGCCUACAACAGCUGUGCUGAGACCAACGCUGUCCGCCUGGCGCACUACCUGGAGAACGCACUCCUGGACAUGCGUGCUCUGCUGCAGAGCCACCCCCGGGCCAAGCUCUGAGCCUCCCCUGCUCAGGCCUGCCAAUGCCACAGCCAAGCCACCUUGGGGUGGGCCACCCACCAGGGCUCCCCUCCUUUGCUCCUUCUCCCCCGGGCCCUGCAGGUCUGACUGGACCAGGGACAGCACCCCCAGCAGGGCCUGCAGGUCUGACUGAACCAGGGACAGCACCCCCAGCAGGGCCUGCAGGUCUGACUGGACCAGGGACAGCACCCCCAGCAGGGCCUGCAGGUCCGACUGAACCAGGGACAGCACCCCCAGCAGGGCCUGCAGGUCUGACUGAACCAGGGACAGCACCCCCAGCAGGGCCUGCAGGUCCGACUGGACCAGGGACAGCACCCCCAGCAGGGCCUGCAGGUCCGACUGGACCAGGGACAGCACCCCCAGCAGGGCCUGCAGGUCCGACUGGACCAGGGACAGCACCCCCAGCAGGGCCUGCAGGUCCGACUGAACCAGGGACAGCACCCCCAGCAGGGCCUGCAGGUCUGACUGAACCAGGGACAGCACCCCCAGCAGGGCCUGCAGGUCUGACUGAACCAGGGACAGCACCCCCAGCAGGGCCUGCAGGUCCGACUGAACCAGGGACAGCACCCCCAGCAGGGCCUGCAGGCCGGAGCCACGUGCCUGUGGCGGGUCAUCCCCAGUGCCUGCAGGGCCAAGUCUGGGCUGAGUUCAGAGGCUGAGCAGGACAUAGGCCAGGCGCCCAGCGAGGCCACCGAGGCCUCCCCCGGGGAAGGAACCCGCUGAGCGUCCCUCAGGCUGGGAGACUGGGAGGACCUUUUUUCUCCAGCUCAGCUCUGGCCAGUCCCUACCAUCUGCACACCUGGGGUCUAUACGCCAAUCCCCAAGCUCCCGAGGACCUAGAGGCAGGAUUACCUGGAGCUGGGGGCUCCAGGCCCCACCAAGGCUAAGAUGCCGGGAUGUGAGGUAUACUGGUGAAGGGCUCGCCCAAGGCCUCGCCUCAGCCCGACCCUGCAUCGCGCUGCCAUCUCCAUUGUGGCUGCCAUGCUCUUUUGAAUAAUGUGGCUCAAGAGCUCCCGCUCGCUUGCUUUCACUCAGCUCGGUUCCUGACCCACCUUCCUGGUUGUAUCAUAGAAAUGUGAGGUGAUUAAUAAAGGGGAAAGUUUUUGGUGAAGAGGUGUUUCAGCCAAGGAGGGGGGCAGGGUGGGGACGGACGCCUUCUACCGGCUUUCUCUGCGUCUGGGAGCUGGUGUCCAAGCAGCCAGUGGUCCAAGGGCUCCCAGAGGAGCCAAGAGGAAGGGACUUCAGGCCUGGGUCAGGGAGCCAAGGGUCAGCUCCGACCUCAGGGCUCUGGGCCAGAAUGGCCCCAGACCCAGGGCUGUGUUCACAGACAGCUCCCUCCUACCCAUGACUUGGGCCUCUCCAGUCCCAUGGGCUGUGGGUGGGGACAGCUCUCCCAGGGGGCUGUGGGGCCCUGUAGCCUCGGGUCUGGAGGGCUGAAGUGUGUGAUGGAUACCCAGGGCCCAAGGCCUCAUCCUGCCACCCCCAGCUGAGCCCAGCAGGAGUGGUGGCUGAGCAGGCACACACCCCCAGCGCUAGCCACUGCCUGGGGCCACCUGAUCAGAACCCUCUACCUGCCCCCAGCCCCAUGCACCUGGCAGAGGCAGGGUGUCCCCCCAAAGUCAGCUGGGCUGUUUGUAGAGAGAAGAGUCUCCCUCUGAGGGACACUCUGGCCCUGAGGAAGGCACAUGUGAAACCCAAGAGCAGAGGCCAGGGCGAUAGGGCGGGAAGGUCACCGAGCCUGUGAGCCAGGUGCUUCGUGGCCUGGCUGACCUGCAAUGGUCACGAGUUUUCUCCAUUUUUCAGAUGAGGAAACUGAGGCUCCAAGAAGGCAUACCACUUACCCAGAGUCCCAGGGAACAAGAAGUGGACCCCAGACCAUGGGGGUUGGGGGGCGUUGUCCUAGGCCUGGUGGCUCCUCGGGACCCCAGCAAGGCCAGCAGGGUGGGGUAAAGCCAGGGGAAGGGGGAUGUGAGUGCCUGUUCAGGGGUCACGAGCAUGGGGACCUGGCAGAGAAUUCCCCCACGACAGCAGGCGCGCCUUGCCCCGCUUAGGCUGCCCUUGGCGUCCCCCAGCCUGGGUCUUGUCUGUACAGUGCAGGUACGCUGCUCCCUCUGCAGCGCCUGGGAGUCCCGGGAAGCAGGGCCCACGGCAGGAGCUGGAGUGCUGUGUGAGCAGUGCUGGGGAGGGGAGAGGGACCCAGGCCAGGCCGCCACACGGCCAGACACCAGGACUCCCGGAAUUCAGGUUCUAAGAACCCUAUGGGUCUGAAUAUAAGGCAGAGUUUUUUCCCAAAAAAAUAAUCUUUCAGAAGUGAGAGCAUCCUCUUGCAUUGGAGUUGUUACACAUCUCGUGAUACGGAGGCUCGCUCAGUUCUUUAGAGCUGCCCAGUACUGUUGGGGGAAGACACGCUCAAACCUAAACAACCCCAGGCAGUGUCGAUGGGACGCUUGGAGGUCCCCUAGUGGAACAGGUAAGGGAUAAAAAGGCAAGGAAACAAUAAAGAGUUAGUAAUUAUUCCUUGAGGGUGUGACAUGUGACCUGAGACUUUGCAACGGUGGGAUGCGGGGCAAGCACGGGCUCUAAGGUCUCAGCACUGGGAGGGAAGCGUUGGGGUCACACACUCCUACACCAUUGAUUUUUAAAACCCAGCUGCCUGAAUGUUGUGCCAAUGGCACUUGUGGCUUUGGAUAAACUUUCCAGUGACAGCGUCACACAUGGAACCCAGAGGUGCUGCUGUAUCUCAAACUGUUUAGCCAGUGGACCCACGAUAAUCGGUCAGCUGACCCAGAGGUGGUCCCUUGGGCAACCAAACCCUGAUGCCAAUGACACACAUGAAGAACUGAUUUAAUUUUUUUUUGCAAAAGGAGUGAAAAAGAACGGUUCUAAAUUAAUAUAUUUUGUGCAAUACAUCAUUUGAAAUUUGAGAAUGUAAUAAAAUUAAUGAAUUAAAGAUUACAUGGCUUUUA